rnacentral:rRNA from 1 species
AGAUUGAACGCUGGCGGCAUGCCUUACACAUGCAAGUCGAACGGCAGCACGGGAGCAAUCCUGGUGGCGAGUGGCGAACGGGUGAGUAAUACAUCGGAACGUGCCCAAUCGUGGGGGAUAACGCAGCGAAAGCUGUGCUAAUACCGCAUAAGAUCUACGGAUGAAAGCGAGGGGAUCGCAAGACCUUGCGACGAAGUGGAGCGGCCGAUGGCAGAUUAGGUAGUGGUGAAGGUAAAGGCUCACCAAGCCUUCGAUCUGUAGUCUGGUCUAGAGGAGGACCGACCAGCCCACGACUGGGGACUGAGACC